CUUGUACUCCCUCCGUCCAAAAAUACUUGUCAUUGAAAUGGAUGCAUCUAGAUGUAUUUUAGUUCUAGACACAUCCAUUUUGAUGACAAGUAAUUCCGGACAGAGGGAGUACUUG
rnacentral:pre_miRNA from 1 species